rnacentral:rRNA from 1 species
GUGUCAGCCGCCGCGGUAAUACGUAGGGGGCGAGCGUUAUCCGGAUUCAUUGGGCGUAAAGCGCGCGUAGGCGGCCCGGCAGGCCGGGGGUCGAAGCGGGGGGCUCAACCCCCCGAAGCCCCCGGAACCUCCGCGGCUUGGGUCCGGUAGGGGAGGGUGGAACACCCGGUGUAGCGGUGGAAUGCGCAGAUAUCGGGUGGAACACCGGUGGCGAAGGCGGCCCUCUGGGCCGAGACCGACGCUGAGGCGCGAAAGCUGGGGGAGCGAACAGGAUUAGAUACC